AAGAAUUUUGAUAACAUGAAAAACUAAAAUGCAAGGCCACAAAAUUUCUGAGCCUUGUAAGAAGCAUAAAUGGGCCAAAGUAGAGCUGCUCUGUAAUUACUAUGUUAAGCCUUCACAUAAAGAAAUGGGCCAAAAACAGAGGUAUUACUAUGCUAAGCCUUUGCUGAGCAUUGUAAAAAGCAUAAAUUGGCCAAAACAGAGCUGCUCUAUUAUUACCAUUAAUCAACAUAAAAUUUUUAUUUUUAAUUUUUUUUAAUAGAAGUGACUUCUCCAUUAGUGCUCUAUUAGGAAUUCUAUUGAAUACUUUGCAGAUGUGUUGUUUCUCACCAAGUUUUACAAACAAGUCAAUAAUUGGAGUGCGUACAAUGCAUCAAAAUGUGUUUCUAAUGAAUAAGUUAAUGGUUCUAUAGGAUUCUAUUGCAAGAGAAAUUGCAGCCCAAAAACAAAAUUUGCUUUUUGAAAAGAUCCAAAAUGCUCAUAUAAAUUCAUAUUUGAGAUGAACAAUUUUCCCUAGAGAGAGGGUAGAGAGAGAGAGGGAUUAUUAGCUUGCUAAUUCUUCAUUAAAAGUCAAUAUAUCUCUUGAUUUUAAUCCAUACCAUAUUCAAAAUUUAAAAAAAUGUAAAAUAAUUAAAAAAAAUGCAUUACUUUUGGUAUCAUAUCGGGCCCCUUCAAAAGUUGCAAAGAGAUGGACAAGAGCACAGUUAAGGAAUAAUUAAGAACUCCUUGCAAGAUGCAUUACCUAUGGUAGCAUAACAGGCCCUAUAUAUCAAUAAAGCAAAAUUAAAAAGAAUGUAAAAUAAUUAAAAAAUGCAUUGCUGUUGGUAUUAUAAUAGGUCCCUACGUAUGCAUAGAAAAAUCUUAAAUAAAAGCAAAAUACAUAAGACUAUUUUGGCAAUAGGGAUGCAAUGCAUGAAAAUCACUAGGAAUUUUGGUAUUGUAACAGGUCUCUAUUAGGAAUUUUGUCGAAUACUUUGUAAAUGUGUUGGAUCUCAACAGGAUUCACAAACAAAUCAAUAAUUGCAGUAGCUACAAUGAAUCAAAAACUAAAUUGAGUGAUUCUAAUAUGAACUCAUAUUUUUUGGGGGGAUUUUAAAAUUAUACAUAAAAUGAGAUAAUUCCAUUUUAUAUCAGGCGCUUGGGUAUUUAGUAUUGGAGUUGCCUAAACAAACACAGAUACAGUGAAAAAUCAAAAUGCAGAGAGAACCCGACACCAAAAAAUCAACCAAUGAAUAGAUAAACGAUGUAAAUUAUAGAAAAAACCCAAGAUUAAAGUGAAAAAAAAGAACGGUCAUCAAGUCCAUGUUUUUGUGGGCUAGUAAAUUAAUAUUUGAGAUGAACAGUAAGCCCUAGAGAGGGUAGAGAGAGAGGGACUAUUAGCUUGCUAAUUCUUCACCAAAAGUGCAUCUAUCUCUUAAUUAUUAAUCCAUACCAUAUUCAAAAUCCAGAUUUUGAGAGUAGCUUUGAACUUGAAUGAAAUAAUGGGUUCUCAAAGAGGCAUUCCUCCAUUCAAUCUUCAACCAAAAAAGGGUGUCUUCCAUCAUGCGCUUCUUCCAUCAUGAACUUAAAUGAAAUAAUGGGAUAGUUUCAUCCUCUUCUUACUGUGUCUUUCAGGAGAGAGAGAGCAUGGGGGAGGGCAAGGAAGGAGAGUGAAUGGGGAAGGUAAGGGAGGUGGGGAGAGAGAGCAGAGGCGCGUUAGAGAGGGGAUAGAGAG
rnacentral:lncRNA from 1 species